rnacentral:lncRNA from 1 species
AGCGGCUCUUGCGCAUGUACAUUGUGGAGAGUUUGAUUCAUGUCUGUCUCAAACUCGAAUGUUUUAAAUUUGUUCUCCAAAAAGAUGAAUUCCAUGGCUCUUUGUGAAGGUUACAGCGUCAAGCUUAUUUGAGACACCAAUGCCUCCCUGUAAAUGUAGAGUUUAGAUGGAUGCAGUCAAAAACGCUUUCAAGUUGGGCAAUUCCAAGUUCAUGGACCAGCAAACUAUAUGUCUGUGAGGUGUGGAGUCUUGGCUCUUUCUCAUUUUGGCUGCGAAUCCAGACUAUAAGCAGGAGCCCAAAUAAUGCGGCACUGAAAUUAAAAUCAAUGUAGGAGGAAACACUGCCACUGCCAGAGGGAG